UGUCUGAUCCAAACCGGAUUUUGGGCAACGGGUCGAAUAAUUUCAGGUUACAAAUUCAAACGGAUCUUUGAAUUUGAUAACAUCAGAUGAUUUCGAUCGGGCUCGGUUGAUAAUAUUUGGCCCGUCAGAAUCCAAAUCCGACCGAAGAUACACAUAUGAGAGUUGAACUUUCCGUUAUUCUUGACCCAAGCUAGCCCUCAAUCCAUGGCCCAAAAUAAAUAUUCAUUAGGUUAGAUUAGGGUUGCCUACUUUCAUCAUCUCUCCAAUCUUUGGUGAUUCCAUCCGAAUAAAAUUAGGAAGCAGAUGAAACAUAUGUGAUUGAUCUAAGCCACUGUGAGUUGGAGGAGAAAGUGAAUGUAAAUUGUAAAAUGAUUUUCAUGCAAAAAUAUUAGUUAGAUUUAAGUUUUGAGCAUUUAUUGUUGUAAAUGAUAUUAUUUAAAAUGUGAAUGUAAGUUCUAAUGGUAGUAUUAACACUGGUUUUAUUGUUGUGUAGUUUAGUAGUUUUACCAAAUAAGAGUUUGUAUUCACAUCCAUUGGCUUUAUAUAGAUCCUCCUGAAAAAAUAUUGUCCUCCUGCCAUAGUUUUUAGUGUAGAAGAAAACCAUGCUCUCAUAGAUCUUGUAUGUUUUUUGUCACAUUUAUUUUCAUCCAAUUUUUUUUGGUCAUGUUUCUUAAGUUACAGGUUGUACAAAGGUGGAGGGGACUAUGUUGUUAACAUUAUAAAAGAAUGUUAAUCUUGUAAAUUGCAAUGUAAUAGUAAAUAAUAUAACAUGUUAGUAUUUGUGUUUGGGUAUCUUAGUAUUGUGGUUCUAUU